GCCUAGAUGGCUCAGUCAGUUAAGCAUCUGACUUUGGCUCAGGUCAUGAUCUCAUGGAUUGUGGGUUUGAGCCCCGCAUUGGGCU
rnacentral:tRNA from 1 species